rnacentral:rRNA from 1 species
CCUACGGGAGGCAGCAGUGGGGAAUAUUGGACAAUGGGGGCAACCCUGAUCCAGCCAUGCCGCGUGUGUGAAGAAGGCCCUCGGGUUGUAAAGCACUUUCAGUGAGGAAGAACGCCUGGUGGUUAAUACCCAUCAGGAAAGACAUCACUCACAGAAGAAGCACCGGCUAACUCCGUGCCAGCAGCCGCGGUAAUACGGAGGGUGCGAACGUUAAUCGGAAUUACUGGGCGUAAAGCGCGCGUAGGUGGCUUGAUAAGCCGGUUGUGAAAGCCCCGGGCUCAACCUGGGAACGGCAUCCGGAACUGUCAAGCUAGAGUGCAGGAGAGGAAGGUAGAAUUCCCGGUGUAGCGGUGAAAUGCGUAGAGAUCGGGAGGAAUACCAGUGGCGAAGGCGGCCUUCUGGACUGACACUGACACUGAGGUGCGAAAGCGUGGGUAGCAAACAGGAUUAGAUACCCCUGUAGUC